GGACGAAAGUCUGACCGAGCACGCCGCGUGAGUGAAGAAGGUUUUCGGAUCGUAAAACUCUGUUGUUAGAGAAGAACAAGGACGUUAGUAACUGAACGUCCCCUGACGGUAUCUAACCAGAAAGCCACGGCUAACUACGUGCCAGCAGCCGCGGUAAUACGUAGGUGGCAAGCGUUGUCCGGAUUUAUUGGGCGUAAAGCGAGCGCAGGCGGUUUCUUAAGUCUGAUGUGAAAGCCCCCGGCUCAACCGGGGAGGGUCAUUGGAAACUGGGAGACUUGAGUGCAGAAGAGGAGAGUGGAAUUCCAUGUGUAGCGGUGAAAUGCGUAGAUAUAUGGAGGAACACCAGUGGCGAAGGCGGCUCUCUGGUCUGUAACUGACGCUGAGGCUCGAAAGCGUGGGGAGCAAACAGGAUUAGAUACCCUGGUAGUCCCAA
rnacentral:rRNA from 1 species